AGCAGCCGCGGUAAUUCCAGCUCCAAUAGCGUAUAUUAAAGUUGUUGCGGUUAAAAAGCUCGUAGUUGAAUUUCGGGAUUGACGUAAUGGUCGUACCUUAAGGGGUAUGAACUGUUACUGUUGAUUUCUCACCUUCUGGAGAAACUUGAUGUCCUUUAUUGGGUGUCUUGCGGAUCCAGGACCUUUACCUUGAAAAAAUUAGAGUGUUUAAAGCAGGCAUUUUUGCUCGAAUACAUUAGCAUGGAAUAAUAGAAUAGGACGGCAUGGUCCUAUUUUGUUGGUUUCUAGGAUCACCGUAAUGAUUAAUAGGGAUAGUUGGGGGCAUUAGUAUUCAAUUGUCAGAGGUGAAAUUCUUGGAUUUAUUGAAGACUAACUACUGCGAAAGCAUUUGCCAAGGAUGUUUUCAUUAAUCAAGAACGAAAGUUAGGGGAUCGAAGACGAUCAGAUACCGUCGUAGUCUUAACCAUAAACUAUGCCGACUAGAGAUCAGACAGGCUUAUUUUCAUGACCUGUUUGGCAUCUUAUGAGAAACCAAAGUGUUUGGGUU
rnacentral:rRNA from 1 species